UACGUAGGGGGCAAGCGUUGUCCGGAUUUAUUGGGCGUAAAGGGCGCGUAGGCGGUCACGCACGUCCGUUGUGAAAUCGCUCGGCUCAACUGGGCGGGGUCAGCGGAUACGGCGUGGCUGGAGCAAGCUAGGGGGCAAUGGAAUUCCCGGUGUAGCGGUGAAAUGCGUAGAUAUCGGAAGGAACACCAGUGGCGAAAGCGGCUUCCUGGUCCAGCACCGACGUUCAGGCACGAAAGCGUGGGGAGCAAACAGG
rnacentral:rRNA from 1 species